rnacentral:ncRNA from 1 species
UAUAAAAAGUAAUCAGUUUCUCGAAUCUAUGAGUAGUGAUGCAGAGCCGUUCUUAGUUUGUGGAGUGAUGGUGUUAAUUCCGAUAACGUACGAGAAUCAAAUAUAUUGAAUAGAUGCUUUCGAGAUUAUGGUGUUGAAGAUUUUACGGUCGUCAUUUACAAGCACAAUAAAAUGUAUAAGUGUUUGAGUGUGUUUAUAGAAGUGGAGCCUAAUACCUACCUGAUAGUUUGCCCUUUUAGAGGACAUUAAAUUCUUAAAUAGACAAAUUGAGUCCAGCAAUAAUAAGAUUGAGCAAAAACAGGUAUGUGGCGCCCCUAGAU